AUAGACAUCAGCAUUUUCCAGAAGGGAGAUGGCAUAAUUUUCAAUGUGCAGGAAACAAUUUUUCAAAGGGCAGCCGGUUCAAAAAACAGAAAACAUAACAUGAUGGAUUUAAAAUUAUGAUCAUGUGGGCAAGUUAUUUAUUUUUGGCCAGUAUUUCUCAGCAGAAACAAAAUGUGUGUGUCUGUGUGUUAAUGCUUCCAGUCUGCUGAGAUCAUUACCUAUCGUUCGAAAAAAUCAAUAUUUGAAAAUGUUAAAUAAUUUAUACCAAUAGAGGAUAUAUAAGUUCUCAAAAUGUUUGGAUACAUACAAAACGAGCAGUAUCUGGAACUCAAGUUCAAGUAGUGAGACACAUAAUCAAUUAUGUGUCCGCCUUUUUUUAAUCUCCCAUGUUUGGCACAGAAAGGCAGCAGAUUCUAAAGUCAUUUCCCAAAGUGGGAUCCAUGGAUCACUAAAAGAUAUUCUUUGAUAGAAAUAUAUGAUGAAAAAUUAUGUGCUUCAAUGAGAAAUUGAUUAUUUAGAUGACAAUCUUCCAGGUUAUCUGAUUUUAGUCUCUCACUGUCCUUGAACUAUUUCACAACUAGAUAGACUGUAAACAACUGAAGGAAAUGUAAAACAAUUCUUGACUGUAGACAAGUCAAUUCAGUCCUUUCCUGUAAAAAAAAUUAUAGAUGUCCCUUUCCAUCUUGUAGAAGCACCAACAUCACUUCCAUUUGCACAUUCAUCUCAUGCUCCUGAUCUAGAAAUGUGUCUGCUUUUCAAUCUUUUCUGUCUUCUUCUCUCAUCAAUUAUGACAUAAAGAAAUCUUUUACAUAUAUUUAUUUUUAUAAUUAUAUGUGAGUAUUUUACCCCUUUAUGAAAAUGACCUUUUAACGUGUGUGUGUGUGUGUGCAUAAAUUUGUUUAAACAAAAGUUAUAGAAAGGCUGGUAAAGAGGACAAGGCACUGAGCUGAGACUUGGUGACCUGAGUUUUUUUCCAAAUAUCCAUUAAAUGAGAGACUGGCUCUUGCUUAACUUUGUAUUACAGAAAAUUUCAAACAGAUUCCAAAGCAGAGAGAACAGUGUAAUGACCUUCCUUCCAUUUAACCAUGAUCCAGCUUUCCCAUUUGACAGCUCAUGGUCAAGCUCAUUUCUUCUCUCCUCCCCUCAUAGCUUCUUGUGGGAUUAAUUUGAAGCAAAUUCCAGAUAUCAUAUCAUUUUGCACAUCUCUAAAAUAUAAAAAUAUCCUGAAAAAUAUAGGCACAAUACCAUUAUCAUACCUAAAAUUGAACAAAAAUUUCUUUACAUCAUGGAAUAAUUUAGUUAUUUUUCAAAUAGUGAUCUACUGACAAGUCAUUUUCUGGCUCUGAAGUGUACUUCUUUCUAAAAAGGAGGUAUAAUACCUAAGACCCUGUUCAUCUCUGCUAUACUAUUUGCAAAUACAUCUUCAGGGAUAUCAUGCUUUUAUGAAGUGGCUACACUUCUGAAAUACUGAGUUUGAUCUGAAACUUUACAAACAAAACCCUUGUUUAAAUGUGUCAUAAUGAAUUACUACCUAAAGAAAAUGAGCAGUGGAUGAUUUUGAAUGAGCAUCUCCCACUAAUGUCUUUGUAUGUCUAGGUAUUUAGGUGACAGCUUUCCUAAGAUGAACUAUUCUUCACUAGUAAUCUACUUCAAAAAGUCUUAUAAAGUGACUACUUCAAAUGCACAUGCAAUUACUAAAUUAGAGUCUUCUCAAUGUCAUGCACAUAAGUGGCAUUUAUUUCAUACCUUUAGAGUUGCCUUUAACAUAGAAGCCAUUAGGAUGCACUCUGGAAUCAAGAAAUGAAAUUGUCUUCCCUGUUAAUGGUUGGAAGCUGGAGCAGCUUGGGCUGCUAUAACAAAAUAUCACAGACUGAUGGCUUCAACAAGAGAGAAUAAUUUUUUUCACCAGUUCCAGAAGUGGGACCUUCCAAGAUCAAGACGUCAGCUGCUCUCGUUCCUGGAGAGAGCUUUCUUCCUUGGCUUUCCAUUGGCCACCUGUUUACUGUGUCUUCACAGUGAAAAGAGUGGGGGAUGGGGGACAUGUACUAGUUUCUCUUCAUCUCAUAAGGGCAACCAGCCUUAUCAGUGCCUCUGCUUAUGACUUCACCUAAACUUAUCACCUCCUUAUAGGCCCUAUCUCCAAAUACAUUGGAGGUUAGGGCUUCAACAUAUGAGUUUGGGGGGGACAUAAUCAGUCCAUAACAAUAGCUUAAUACAAUAAUUUCAUCUUUCAAGUGUCAUUCAUGCAAGUACUCAAGCCAAAACCUAGGAUAUUAUUAUUAUUAUUAUUAUUAGUCUUUUUAGUGCCACACCCACAGCAUAUGGAAGUUCCCAGGCUAGGGGUCGAAUUGGAGCUGUAGCUGCCAGCACACACCACAGCCAUGCCACAUCCAAGCUACCUCAUGGAUACUAGUCAGAUUUGUUUCCGCUGAGCCACAAUAGGAACUCCUAUAAUUAACAUUAAUUAACAUUAUUAAUGCAUCUCUUUCCCUUUCACCCUCCACAUCCAAUCCAAUAGCAAUUCCUAUUGGCUUAACAUUAAGUUAUAUACCAAUUCUCAUCACUAAUCAACACCGGUGUUUCAACCACUGUGGUAUAAACCACUAUCCUCAUUCACUAAUGAUCAGAAGAUGAACUUUAGAGCUUAAGUCAAAUCAUGUUACUUCUCUGUUCUAAUCCUCUAAUGACAGAUGUGGUUAAAUGAAAGACCUUUAAGGGGUGAGGGUGAUUAUUCUGGAUCAUCUGGGUCUUAAGUGUAAUUACAAUGGUGUGGUGUUUUGUUUUGUUUUCAUUUUAGGGCCACACCCAUGACAUAUGGAAUUUCCCAGGCUGGGGGUCAACUCAGAGGUACAAGCUGCCAGCUUAUGCCACAACAAUGCAGGAUCCAAGCCAUGUCUGUGACAUAUACCACAACUCAUGGCAAUGCCAGAUUCUUAACACACUGAUCCCUUAACCCAGAGAUCGGACCUGUAUCCUCAUGGAUCUUAGUUGGGUUCGUUAACAGCUGAGCUAUGAAGGAAACUCCCAUAAUCAUAAUGGUUUUUGUGAGAAGUCAAAAGAGAAGGUGGUGAGGUGAGGAUAAAAGUAGAUAUUGGAGUGAUGUGGCCAGGAGCCAAAGAAUUCUGGUAGAUCCUUGAGCGCCUAAUAAUUCACUCAGUGAAUGCCAGUUGUGUUAUUAUUUUUAUGGUUUUAGUUCAAAGAGGAAUCCUAGUUUUGUGUUCCUUAACCAGUGGUUGUGCAUUAAAAUUACUUGAAGGGGAGUUCCCAUCGUGGCUCAGUGGUUAACAAAUCCGACUAGGAACCAUGAGGUUGUGGGUUUGAUCCCUGGCCUUGCUCAGUGGGUUAAGGAUCUGGCGUUGCCGUGAGCUGUAGUGUAGGCUGUAGAUGCGGCUCAGAUCCCACAUUGCUGUGGCUCUGGCAUAGGCUGGAGACUACAGCUCUGAUUAGAUCCCUAGCCUGGGAACCUCCAUAUGCCACUGGAGUGGCCCAAGAAAUGGCAAAAAGAUCAAAACAUAAAAUAAAAUAAAAUAAAAUAAAAUUACUUGAAGAGUUUUAAAAUGUUCAUGCUUUAUUUUCCAAAGAUAGGGCCAGCUACAUAAUUUUCAGAGCCCUUCAUUCACAAAUUAUUAAGGAUUUCAAAAUGUAACAAUUAACAAUAUAGCCUUUAAACCAAGCUUCUAUGUAUGGGGCCCUGUAUAUUGCAAAAGUUGCAUCCCCUUGGAACAUACCCUGUGCAAGUGUUUUGAAUGUAUAUCUAGAGUAGUGUUCUGGUAUCUGUAAUAUUUAAAAGUCAAGUUAUUCUAAUAUAAAGACACAGCUGAGAACCACUGAUAAAAUACAACAAUAUCAUUUAAAAAAUCUCCAAAGCUAGCUCUCCAGAGUAUCACUAAAACAGCCCAUUGUUAAGACAAAGUUGAGUUUAUUGCUUACAAUGUUAAGGAAAAGAAUCAAGCACUACCUUAACAGUCUUAGUAACAUCUCAGAGAGGGAGAGACAAAAUAGUCAUAUCAAUUGAAAUUUGGAAGUCUCCCUUAAAGUUUUUGUGUUUGUUUUAUUUGUUUGUUUGUUUGUUUUUCAUUAGCAAGGGCAAGCUUGGUUAGGAUUGAGGAGGAAUCAGGAAAGAAUAGUUUAGGAUCAGUGAACACGGAAGCAAAAAAGACUUGUAAACUAACUUGAUAAUUUCUAUUAAAGAGUUUGAUGAGUCAUUUUAGAAAAUUUCUGGAAAUAACCUGUUAUAAAGUUAUGUGUAACUUUUAAUGUCCUGUGCAAAUGUUUCCAGGAAUGGAAAUUUAAAUUGAUGAAGACAGGGUAUUCCCCUUGUGGCACAGUGGAAAUGAAUCCAACUAGUAUCCACGAGGAUGCAAGUUUGAUCCCUGGCCUUGCUCAGUGGGUCAGGGAUCUGGCAUUGCUGUAAAGUGUGGUGUAGGUCACUAAUGUGGCUCAGAUCUCGCACUGCCGCAGCUGUGACGUAUGCUGGCAGCUAUAGCUCUGAUUUGACCCCUAGUCUGGGAAUUUCCAUACGCUGCAGGUGUGGCCUUAAGGAGGAAAGAAAGAAAGAAAGAGAGAGAGAGAGAGAGAAAGAAAGAGAGAAAGGAAGGCAGACAGCAUAACACUACAAUAAUGUUAAUAUAGACAGUUGGGAUUCUCACCUAGAAAUGUUAAGUGACUUGUACAGUGUCGCACAAGUAGUGGUAGUACUACCUGAUUCUCAAGGUAGUACUUAUACCACCUCACAGGCUGCUUCUAUAGAACCAUGGGAUAUAAAGCCACCUAAUUAAAAUCUUUCAGGUUACACUCAAAAUUCUCACAAAACUAUUUUAAGAACAGUAUCUACAAUAGAUAUUAAGCUUCUAGAAAAUUAUAAAAUGG
ensembl:lncRNA